GAUGAAGAACGUAGCGAAAUGCGAUAAGUAAUGUGAAUUGCAGAAUUCAGUGAAUCAUCGAAUCUUUGAACGCACCUUGCACCCUUUGGUAUUCCGAAGGGUAUGCUCGUUUGAGUGUCAUUGUACUCUCACACUUCUAAUUCCUUUCGGGAUUGGGGGCGGUGGACUUGGGUGUUGCUGCUUUAGUUGUGGCUCACCUCAAAUAAGUUAGUGCAACUCUUGGUUGGACAUAGUACGGCGUGAUAAGUGUCUUCGCCGGCGCCUCUGUAAGGAGGGUGGCCGAUCGGGAGCUCUGUGCUUCAAACCGUCUUCGGACAAUCUUUGACAACUUGACCUCAAAUCGAGUAGGACUACCCGCUGAACUUAAGCAUAUCAAUAAGCGGAGGA
rnacentral:misc_RNA from 1 species